CUCAGAGCGAACGCUGGCGGCAGGCCUAACACAUGCAAGUCGAACGGACCCUUCGGGGUUAGUGGCGGACGGGUGAGUAACACGUGGGAACGUGCCUUUAGGUUCGGAAUAGCUCCUGGAAACGGGUGGUAAUGCCGAAUGUGCCCUUCGGGGGAAAGAUUUAUCGCCUUUAGAGCGGCCCGCGUCUGAUUAGCUUGUUGGUGGGGUAAUGGCCCACCAAGGCUACGAUCAGUAGCUGGUCUGAGAGGAUGACCAGCCACAUUGGGACUGAGACACGGCCCAAACUCCUACGGGAGGCAGCAGUGGGGAAUCUUGCGCAAUGGGCGAAAGCCUGACGCAGCCAUGCCGCGUGUAUGAUGAAGGUCUUAGGAUUGUAAAAUACUUUCACCGGUGAAGAUAAUGACUGUAGCCGGAGAAGAAGCCCCGGCUAACUUCGUGCCAGCAGCCGCGGUAAUACGAAGGGGGCUAGCGUUGCUCGGAAUUACUGGGCGUAAAGGGAGCGUAGGCGGACAUUUAAGUCAGAGGUGAAAUCCCGGAGCUUAACUUCGGAACUGCCUUUGAUACUGGGUGUCUUGAGUGUGAGAGAGGUAUGUGGAACUCCGAGUGUAGAGGUGAAAUUCGUAGAUAUUCGGAAGAACACCAGUGGCGAAGGCGACAUACUGGCUCAUUACUGACGCUGAGGCUCGAAAGCGUGGGGAGCAAACAGGAUUAGAUACCCUGGUAGUCCACGCCGUAAACGAUGAUUGCUAG
rnacentral:rRNA from 1 species